rnacentral:rRNA from 1 species
GUGCCAGCAGCCGCGGUAAUACGAAGGGGGCUAGCGUUGUUCGGAAUUACUGGGCGUAAAGCGCGCGCAGGCGGCCUUGCAAGUCAGAGGUGAAAUCCCAGAGCUUAACUCCGGAAUUGCCUUUGAGACUGCUUGGCUUCGAGUACGGGAGAGGUGAGUGGAAUUCCCAGUGUAGAGGUGAAAUUCGUAGAUAUUGGGAAGAACACCGGUGGCGAAGGCGGCUCACUGGCCCGUUACUGACGCUCAGGCGCGACAGCGUGGGGAUCAAACAGGAUUAGAAACCCGGGUAGUCC